rnacentral:rRNA from 1 species
AGUGAAUAGAUACCCGGGUAGUCCACGCUGUAAACGAUGAUUACUCGAUGUUGGCGAUAUACUGUCAGCGUCUAAAGCGAAAGCAUUAAGUAAUCCACCUGGGGAGUACGGCCGCAAGGUUGAAACUCAAAGGAAUUGACGGGGGCCCGCACAAGCGGAGGAGCAUGUGGUUUAAUUCGAUGAUACGCGAGGAACCUUACCUGGGCUAGAACGCUGGACGACUGUACCGGAAACGGUACUUCCCUUCGGGGCGGCCAGCGAGGUGCUGCAUGGUUGUCGUCAGCUCGUGCCGUGAGGUGUCGGGUUAAGUCCCAUAACGAGCGCAACCCCUAUCAUUAGUUGCCAUCAGGUAAAGCUGGGGACUCUAAUGAAACUGCCUACGCAAGUAGUGAGGAAGGUGGGGAUGACGUCAAAUCAGCACGGCCCUUACGUCCAGGGCUACACACGUGCUACAAUGGCCGGUACAACGGGUUGCUACCUGGUGACAGGAUGCUAAUCUCUAAAACCGGUCUCAGUUCGGAUCGAAGUCUGCAACUCGACUUC